rnacentral:rRNA from 1 species
CGCACGGGUGAGUAACACGUAUGCAACUUGCCUGCCACAGCCGGAUAAUCGGGAGAAAUUCCGUCUAAUACGGCAUAAUGCAUCGACGGGACAUCCUGUUGGUGCCAAAGGUUAAUUCCGGUGGCGGAUGGGCAUGCGUCGCAUUAGUUAGUUGGCGGUGUAACGGACCACCAAGACGACGAUGCGUAGGGGUUCUGAGAGGAAGGUCCCCCACACUGGUACUGAGACACGGACCAGACUCCUACGGGAGGCAGCAG